rnacentral:rRNA from 1 species
AGAAUCAACGCUGGCGGCGUGCCUAACACAUGCAAGUCGCACGAGAAAGGGGCUUCGGCCCUGAGUAAAGUGGCGCACGGGUGAGUAACACGUGAAUCAUCUACCUUCGAGUGUGGAAUAACUGAGAGAAAUCUUAGCUAAUACCGCAUAAUACCUACGGGUCAAAGCAGCAAUGCGCUUGAAGAGGAGUUCGCGGCAGAUUAGUUAGUUGGCGGGGUAAUGGCCCACCAAGACGAUGAUCUGUA